rnacentral:rRNA from 1 species
CCUACGGGUGGCAGCAGUGAGGAAUAUUGGUCAAUGGACGAGAGUCUGAACCAGCCAAGUAGCGUGAAGGAUGACUACCCUAUGGGUUGUAAACUUCUUUUAUAUGGGAAUAAAAUGUUCCACGUGUGGGAUUUUGUAUGUACCAUAUGAAUAAGGAUCGGCUAACUCCGUGCCAGCAGCCGCGGUAAUACGGAGGAUCCGAGCGUUAUCCGGAUUUAUUGGGUUUAAAGGGAGCGUAGGUGGAUUGUUAAGUCAGUUGUGAAAGUUUGCGGCUCAACCGUAAAAUUGCAGUUGAAACUGGCAGUCUUGAGUACAGUAGAGGUGGGCGGAAUUCGUGGUGUAGCGGUGAAAUGCUUAGAUAUCACGAAGAACUCCGAUUGCGAAGGCAGUUCACUGGACUGCAACUGACACUGAGGCUCGAAAGUGUGGGUAUCAAACAGGAUUAGAUACCCUUGUAGUC